rnacentral:lncRNA from 1 species
GAUCACUCCCACCCCAUGAUGAACCAGGGCCCACCAUGUGCCAGAUUUAAUAAAAAUGCAUGUAACCAGAGACUUCCGGGAGAACAUGGCAGACAAAUAACAGCAGCCAUGGAGGCUCUCUGAGAUUACCAGCUUAGAAUCCAGGAGUGGUGCCUUGUGAGGAGUCCUACGUGAGGGGAGAUGUACCCUGCCGACCCAGGAAUGAACUAAGCUGAGAGAAACCAACUGGAAAUGCAAUCCUGAUGCUAUAACAGGAACAGAUAAAAUCUCAGCGCAGAAGCUGGAGCCCGCGCCACUGGAAGCCACGAUUUGAAUUUCCUGCCACCACUGCUGCAUCCCAUUCAGCACAGCAGGGAGAGA